AUUGAACGCUGGCGGCAGGCCUAACACAUGCAAGUCGAACGGUAACAGGAAGAAGCUUGCUUCUUUGCUGACGAGUGGCGGACGGGUGAGUAAUGUCUGGGAAACUGCCUGAUGGAGGGGGAUAACUACUGGAAACGGUAGCUAAUACCGCAUAACGUCGCAAGACCAAAGAGGGGGACCUUCGGGCCUCUUACCAUCGGAUGUGCCCAGAUGGGAUUAGCUAGUAGGUGGGGUAACGGCUCACCUAGGCGACGAUCCCUAGCUGGUCUGAGAGGAUGACCAGCCACACUGGAACUGAGACACGGUCCAGACUCCUACGGGAGGCAGCAGUGGGGAAUAUUGCACAAUGGGCGCAAGCCUGAUGCAGCCAUGCCGCGUGUAUGAAGAAGGCCUUCGGGUUGUAAAGUACUUUCAGCGGGGAGGAAGGGAGUAAAGUUAAUACCUUUGCUCAUUGACGUUACCCGCAGAAGAAGCGCCGGCUAACUCCGUG
rnacentral:rRNA from 1 species